rnacentral:tRNA from 1 species
UCCCUGGUAGCUCAGUCAGUAAAGAAACUUCCUUCAGUGCAGGAGACCCAGGUUCAAUCCCUGGCUUGGGAA